GAACAGCUGGUCCUGGUGUGGCUUCAGCUGCUGCAGCUAAACGGGAACCAGAUGGGAGGUACCGAGAAUACAUGUAUAUCUAUGCUCUGCAUACCCAUCAGCAGCUGAAAUCUAUGUCUGUGUUACAUUUCCUUGGUGGUUAGUGGAAGAAAAUAUUUGCUUUUAGGGCAAAGUUCACCCUAUCAUAAAAUUGUCAUGUAGAAUAGGCAAUAGAAACAUAUUCCUUGACUAUCAAGGGAUCUCAGGAAGAUUGGGUGGGAUGUAGAUAUUUAAAAAUAAGUGAAGUGAACUUCCCCAGUAAAUUGGAAUCACAGGGCCUUUAUGUAGUCACAGUGGUAGAGAGCUGAUGACCAGAAAUAUGUUAAUUUAGAAUAAUUUAUCUGGGUUACACUGCAGGUUUCUGUCCAAGGUGCUCUGAAAUUCUCAAAGCUACAUUUUUCACUGCUUAGUUUCUAGAAACGUUAUGAAGAGAAGGAUAGUCUUAGAAAAAAACAAGCCACAAUGUUCCUUGAAGACCCCACAAAGUGAGUUAAAGAAGAAGACCUUUCCUGGAGGACAGUCACUGACAGAGAAAUCAAAUCAGAUUGUUCCAAGGGCUGCAAUCACAUAAGCAAGUUAUUCUUCAAUAAGUAAGAAAGAAUUAGGAGCCAGAGUGAAGGGCUUCUGCACUGUCCCACAUCAGAAUUCUCUCCAAAGCUAAGGCAUGGGGUGUUCCAGAUACCACAUCUCUUUCCCCAGGCAAAUUAAUUGUUAACAAA
rnacentral:lncRNA from 1 species